AUGAACGCUAGCUACAGGCUUAACACAUGCAAGUCGAGGGGCAGCAUGGUCUUAGCUUGCUAAGGCCGAUGGCGACCGGCGCACGGGUGAGUAACACGUAUCCAACCUGCCGUCUACUCUUGGACAGCCUUCUGAAAGGAAGAUUAAUACAAGAUGGCAUCAUGAGUCCGCAUGUUCACAUGAUUAAAGGUAUUCCGGUAGACGAUGGGGAUGCGUUCCAUUAGAUAGUAGGCGGGGUAACGGCCCACCUAGUCUUCGAUGGAUAGGGGUUCUGAGAGGAAGAUCCCCCACAUUGGAACUGAGACACGGUCCAAACUCCUACGGGAGGCAGCAGUGAGGAAUAUUGGUCAAUGGGCGAGAGCCUGAACCAGCCAAGUAGCGUGAAGGAUGACUGCCCUAUGGGUUGUAAACUUCUUUUAUAAAGGAAUAAAGUCGGGUAUGGAUACCCGUUUGCAUGUACUUUAUGAAUAAGGAUCGGCUAACUCCGUGCCAGCAGCCGCGGUAAUACGGAGGAUCCGAGCGUUAUCCGGAUUUAUUGGGUUUAAAGGGAGCGUAGAUGGAUGUUUAAGUCAGUUGUGAAAGUUUGCGGCUCAACCGUAAAAUUGCAGUUGAUACUGGAUAUCUUGAGUGCAGUUGAGGCAGGCGGAAUUCGUGGUGUAGCGGUGAAAUGCUUAGAUAUCACGAAGAACUCCGAUUGCGAAGGCAGCCUGCUAAGCUGCAACUGACAUUGAGGCUCGAAAGUGUGGGUAUCAAACAGGAUUAGAUACCCUGGUAGUCCACACGGUAAACGAUGAAUACUCGCUGUUUGCGAUAUACGGCAAGCGGCCAAGCGAAAGCGUUAAGUAUUCCACCUGGGGAGUACGCCGGCAACGGUGAAACUCAAAGGAAUUGACGGGGGCCCGCACAAGCGGAGGAACAUGUGGUUUAAUUCGAUGAUACGCGAGGAACCUUACCCGGGCUUAAAUUGCAGAUGAAUUACGGUGAAAGCCGUAAGCCGCAAGGCAUCUGUGAAGGUGCUGCAUGGUUGUCGUCAGCUCGUGCCGUGAGGUGUCGGCUUAAGUGCCAUAACGAGCGCAACCCUUGUUGUCAGUUACUAACAGGUUCCGCUGAGGACUCUGACAAGACUGCCAUCGUAAGAUGUGAGGAAGGUGGGGAUGACGUCAAAUCAGCACGGCCCUUACGUCCGGGGCUACACACGUGUUACAAUGGGGGGUACAGAGGGCCGCUACCACGCGAGUGGAUGCCAAUCCCAAAAACCUCUCUCAGUUCGGACUGGAGUCUGCAACCCGACUCCACGAAGCUGGAUUCGCUAGUAAUCGCGCAUCAGCCACGGCGCGGUGAAUACGUUCCCGGGCCUUGUACACACCGCCCGUCAAGCCAUGGGAGCCGGGGGUACCUGAAGUGCGUAACCGCGAGGAGCGCCCUAGGGUAAAACUGGUGACUGGGGCU
rnacentral:rRNA from 1 species